GCUCGGUUGGUCUAGUGGUAUGAUUCUCGCUUAGGGUCGCACCUUAAGUCCGGUACACAAUACGGUUUGCGAGAGGUCCCCGGUUCAAACCCGGGAUCGAGCC